rnacentral:rRNA from 1 species
AACGAACGCUGGCGGCAUGCCUAACACAUGCAAGUCGAACGAGACCUUCGGUUCUAGUGGCGCACGGGUGCGUAACGCGUGGGAAUCUGCCCUUCGGUUGUGAAUAACUGAGAGAAAUUUCAGCUAAUACCUUAUAAUGUCUUCGGACCAAAGAUUUAUCGCCGAGGGAUGAGCCCGCGUAGGAUUAGGUAGUUGGUGGGGUAAUGGCCUACCAAGCCGACGAUCCUUAGCUGGUCUGAGAGGAUGAUCAGCCACACUGGGACUGAGACACGGCCCAGACUCCUACGGGAGGCAGCAGUGGGGAAUAUUGGACAAUGGGCGAAAGGCUGAUCCAGCAAUGCCGCGUGAGUGAUGAAGGCCUUAGGGUUGUAAAGCUCUUUUAACCGGGAUGAUAAUGACAGUACCGGGAGAAUAAGCUCCGGCUAACUACGUG